rnacentral:ncRNA from 1 species
GACACCCAAGUAGCACGGGGCCCGAGAAAUCCCGUGUGAAUCUGGCGGGACCACCCGCUAAGCCUAAAUAUUCCCUGGUGACCGAUAGCGGAUAGUACCGUGAGGGAAUGGUGAAAAGUACCGCGGGAGCGGAGUGAAAUAGUACCUGAAACCGUGUGCCUACAAGCCGUGGGAGCGUCGGAUGGAAGCUUGCUUCCGAUCGUCGUGACUGCGUGCCUUUUGAAGAACUGAGCCUGCGAGUUUGCGGUGUGUUGCGAGGUUAACCCGGUGGGAAGCCGUAGCGAAAGCGAGUCCGAAUAGGUCGUUUCAGUAGCACGCUACAAGACCGAAGCGGA